rnacentral:lncRNA from 1 species
CUCUCCCCUCUCUUCUCUCUCCUCUCUCUUCUUCCUUCCCACACACGACAGAACCAACUUCUUCUUCUCCUUGUUUUGUCGCGUGCGAACCAGCAAGCCCGAACCAGAAGCAGCGAGCAUCACCGUCAGACGAAGACAGCAGCCGCUCGUCCCGCCGCCGCACCGCCGCUCACACGCCUGCGACAACUGCUCGCCCGUGCGCCCGCCGUCAUCCCGCCGUCCGCGCACGCCCAGGCCGCGCGAAUCAGCCCUGUUUCGCCCCUGUUCCGCACCGACCAGCCACCGUCCGGCCACCUCUGGCCACCGCCCAGCCUCGCCGGACUUCCCCGGCGUUCCCCUUACUCUCCGCCGGCCUUCCCUCGCCGUUUUGGCCGCCGGAUCUGCUCCGACCAGCCAAGGGCAGAAACCCACGAAAUGGGUUUCCAGCUGGUUCGGGCCCGUUUUGGGCCGUUUCCCGGCCCCGGAUCCGCGAGUCGCUUUGGAGUUUGUCGUUCCUCGCGUCGCCGCCGUCGGAUUGAUCCAAUUUGUGCGCGAUUUGGUGAGUAAUCUCACUAAUCUUGGAUUAGUUGGCUAAUUAUGCUUAAGGUUGGUUUAGAUUUAAUUAAUUAUGUUUAGGUUGUUAGAUUAUAAUAAAUUAGCAAUUAUUAGUGAAUUGUGAUGCGAUUUAGAUAAAUUGAUUGCGCAAUUAGCAAGUAGACGUGGUCUACUAAUUAUUGGAAGUGCUUCAGGAAUUUUCCCGACCCUUAGUGGGCUCCAAUUAGGCUUUUCGGGCCUAAGUGGAUAUUUUUAGUAUUUAAUUAUUAAUUUUCGGAAUUAAAUUAUUAUUUAUUUAUUUUCCGGAAAUUCAACUGAGAUGGCCUGGAACCGGAAAAUUAUGUUGAUGACCGUGGUGAAGUCCGUUUAUUUAAUCGGGCUUUAAUUUGAGCUAAAUGGGAUUUUUAAUAUUAAUUAUUUAAUAUUCGAAAUUAAUUAUUUAUUUAUUUAUUUUCCGGAAAUUCAACUGAGAUGGCCUGGAACCGGAAAAUUAUGCUGAUGACCGUGGUGAAGUCCGUUUAUUUAAUCGGGCUUUAUUUUGUACUAAAUUGAAUUUUUAAUAUUUAUUAAUUAUUUAUUUUUUGGAAAUUAAGAUUUUGAUGGCCGAUGACCGGAAUCUCGUGCUGAUCGUCGUGGCGCAGUCCGUUUAUUUAUUUGAGCUCUACGUUGUAUGGAAUUGAAUAAAUUGUGAUAUUUUAGGGAUUUACCCUAAAUUGAUUGGAAUCGAUUGAGAUUGAAUUAUCGAUUGGCGAAUGGCCAAGUAUGUUUAUUCAGCAUUUAUAAUGCUUUGUUGAGUUAAUUUAAUUAUUUGAUUGAGUAUUGAUUGAGAUUGAAUUGGCCAAGUGUGUUAUUUAGCAUUUAUAAUGCUUUAUUGAAUUGUUUAUGUUGGCUCUGUGAUCAGUGUAUCACCACGGCGAAAAAGACGCCCGAGAGCAUAUUGAAUUGUUUAUGUUGGCUCUGUGAUCAGUGUAUCACCAUGGCGAAAAAGACGCCCGAGAGCAUAUUGAAUUGUUUAUGUUGGCUCUGUGAUCAGUGUAUCACCAUGGCGAAAAAGACGCCCGAGAGCAUAUUGAAUUGUUUAUGUUGGCUCUGUGAUCAGUGUAUCACCAUGGCGAAAAAGACGCCCGAGAGCAUAGUAAAGUGUGCACUGUACGUCACCUUGGCGAAUCGACGCCCGAGAGCAUUGAUGGAGCUCUGUGACUAAGUGCAGGCAUCUAAAAGGGCACGUGGCUCGGUGACUUGAUGUAUCACCUUGGCGAAGAGGUCGCCUUAGAGAAUGCACGUGGGCCCAAGGUUCGAGGCACGUGACCCGGAGACUUGGAAGGUCAUCCUGGAGAAUGCACGUGGCCUAGCUUUUAAAUAUCCCACAGUGGGGAUUGAUGUGUUUGACAUGUAAUCGACUAGGUCGAUGCUUUGAUUUGAUGUUGUGAAUUGAUUGACUGAAUGGAAUUGACCGUGAGUGGUCUUGUCGGAAUAUAAUCGACUAGGUCGAUUUGAUCGAUGCUUCGAUCGGUGAUAUGUUUGCUUGGGUGCCUAUUAUGAAUUGUACUGACUUGCAGGUGGGAUCAGAGGCCAAGGUAAGUCCUCUGCCCUGUGCGUGUUUAGGCAGCCUUUAGUAUAAUAGUUUACUAAUCGGGCUUAGUGGGGUAGAACUCGCUGAGACGUAGUCUCAUCCCAGUUUGGGGAAAACCAUUUCAGGACCCCGGUGAGAAGCUGAAGAGGAGGAGUCUAAGAAGGAGAACUCGGAGGUGAAACUUAAGGAGAAAGAUUUUUGGGAGAAGAUGAUAAUCCCGAGAAGGGCCUUGAGUACGGCCCGGAUGGCUAAGAGUUUCUGUCUCCUUUUGAGAUCUCCGUUUUGAUGUGAAUAGUUUUGAAGUGGUUUGUGUUUUGUAUAAAAGUUUGGUUAUAAAUUUCAAUAUGAAAAAUAUGGCCCUGCUUUUCUAUCCCAUCGUUUUAUUGUCUGGGG